AGAAAUCAAGAAGCUUCUUCGUUUCACCAUUUCUGUCUCUCUACACUCAGCCACAAAGAACAAUCUCCUACUUCUUUCUACAUUGCUACCUAGUCCGAGAGCUUAAUCUGUCGAUUUUGUGUAAAUCGAUUGAUCCUUUCAAAAAUCCUUGAUUUUUGAAUAGAUCUGGUCAAUCGACUAACAUACGACGCCGUUUAUCCGAUUUCACUUUGGUCGGAAGCAUAGAUAGAACUCAUAGAAGUACAAAACUGAGCUUCCGUUCGAAACGGUUCUCCUCUUCGUCGGUCGCCGUCGCCGUCGCUCUCCGUUUCCCCGAUUUCAACUGCAGAUUGUAUUGCACAUGAUAAGGAUGUGGUAUAUAUAAGAAGCGGGAUUGGUAUGUUUGUGAACGAGGAAGUUGAUAGGCAAAGGGCAUAAAUGGAAUUUUACAAGGCGGUCCAAUCAGGCCCCACAACGCCACCACCAAAGUAAAGGAACUUUUUACUGCCUCCAUUCACAAUCUGAUCCAAUCUACUCUUCCAGUCUUCUGUCUUCGCUUGCUUAAUUCGAGCUCUUCAAUGAAGUGUCCCAGCCAAUGUUUCUGAUUCGUCGCCACGUCCCCAUAUCCAUACUUCAAUAAACAAUUUUCCCUUCUUUCUUCUCCUUUUCAUCUUUAACCUGUUUGGGAAUUUUUUCGGGCAUGGAGGUAUUGGAAAAGCUGGGUAUGAUAGAUUGGGAGCAGGAAUCAUACCCAAGAUACCAGGAUUUCGCGGUUCUUCCCUUGUUCGCGCUGUUCUUCCCCACUGUCAGAUUCUUGCUCGAUAGAUUCGUGUUUGAGAAUGUAGCUAGGUGGUUGAUGUUUCCAAAGGGACAGCGGGUGCUGGAAAAUGAGACAGAUGAAAGGAGGAAAAAAGUGAGGAAAUUCAAGGAAUCAGCAUGGAAGUGUGUGUAUUUUCUUUCAGCUGAGAUCUUUUCACUUGUGGUGACUUACAAUGAGCCAUGGUUCAAGAAAACAAAGUACUUCUGGGUAGGUCCUGGGGAUCAGGUCUGGCCCGACCAAAAAUACAAGUCAAAAUUGAAGGCACUUUAUAUGUAUGCUGGUGGAUUCUACACAUAUUCCAUAUUUGCUCUUAUCUUUUGGGAAACAAGGCGGGCUGACUUCGGUGUCUCGAUGAGCCAUCAUGUUGCAACUGCUAUUCUCAUUGUUCUGUCCUAUAUAUUCAGGUUUGCACGUGUUGGGUCAAUUGUUUUAGCUCUCCAUGAUGCAAGUGACAUAUUUUUGGAAAUAGGGAAGAUGUCCAAAUAUAGUGGCGCUGAAAGUCUUGCUAGCUUUGCGUUUGUUCUGUUUGUUUUAUCUUGGAUUGUGCUUCGUCUUACGUACUUUCCUUUCUGGAUUCUAUGGAGUACAAGCUAUGAAGUUCUCUUGACGUUGGAUAAGGAGAAACACCGAAUCGACGGACCGCUUUGUUACUACAUCUUCAACACACUUCUAUUUGGCUUGCUUGUUCUUCAUGUGUAUUGGUGGGUGUUGAUGUACAGGAUGCUUGUUAAACAAAUCCAAGCACGAGGCAAAGUUAGUGAAGAUGUUCGAUCUGAUUCCGAGGCCGAGGAUGAGAAUGAGCAUGAAGAUUGACCAAGCCCGAACAUUUUUACUUUUCGUCUUCCACAUAAAGGUUGAAUCAACCGCUUCUUGUUCUUCGUUUGCAGUGAGAAGACGAGACAUGAUGGUUACUUGGAGCAAGAUGUUCUGAUAUGACAGCUUUGGCUUUUGUGUAUUGUGAAAUGUUGUUAGAUCAGUAGGGGAUUGAAAACAUUGCAACUCAAAAAGGAAAAAUUGAUCUGUUAUUAGAAACCGAUUUUAUCAACCAUUAUUGUAGUUCUUCUGCUGGCUCUGGGACUUCACCAUUCAUUCUUUUUUGCUUUCCGCUUGAGACAUUGUACUUGUUGCCAGGACUCUCAUGGCUUGCCCAGAAAGCAAUGGUGGAAUAGGGCCUCUUAGAAGAUGGAAGACAUCUUGACAGAUAUUCCUCCACCCUCAAGGUUGUUCUUGGAAGAUGUCUUUGCCCCGCGAUUGAAGCAUCCUCUUCCGUCUCCAUUCCUGUUGUUUUCUACACCUAACGCUGAGAAAUAUUCUCACCCCUCUCUCCUUAUAAUUGCAAUGUCUUUUUACUUUUUUCACCAUUUGUCUUCCAAAAUCUUUGUUGGAACACUUAUCCUACCUGAGAUUGAUGUUUGUAGUCUCAGUCCAAUAUCCGAUCACUGCAGAGAGAUCUGAUGCAGUGGCAAAGCUUUAGGGGUAAGCUUCCAGCCGAUGAAACACUUGCGUUCAAGCUGGAGACAUCAUUAGAGAGAGAAGGGUGGUCGAAAAUUUCAUAAUUUUCAGCGGUGGCCAUGAUGAUUCUCGGUUGGUUAGACUAUUUCCCAUCAGGAAGUGUAGUGGAUGGCUUGGCUGCCGCACUAUUGGGCAGUGUGUGUUUCAUGGCCUCAACCUUCUGUGAAAUCUUCGCUGCUCAAGGAUGUCUUACCGGGAAUGGAUCAUAUGACUUUGCUUGGACUUGGCGUAGUAAAGAUUAUCUUCUUGAUUCUGAUCCGUACACCUGAUAUUUAGAUUUUAACAAGAACUGUCUUAAUUAUUUCAACAUUCUAUA